rnacentral:rRNA from 1 species
UACGUAGGUGGCAAGCGUUGUCCGGAUUUAUUGGGUUUAAAGGGUGCGUAGGCGGUCUUCUAAGUCAGUUGUGAAAUACUUCAGCUUAACUGGAGAGGUGCAAUUGAUACUGGAAGACUUGAGUACUGAUGAGGUAGGCGGAAUGGACGGUGUAGCGGUGAAAUGCUUAGAUAUCGUCCAGAACACCGAUAGCGAAGGCAGCUUACUAAGGAGUAACUGACGCUGAGGCACGAAAGUAUGGGGAUCAAACAGG